CUGCGAAUAUUCUCGCUGUUCUGAUUUUGUAAUAAUCAGGACAGGCUAAACAUUCGCUAUAAUAAGACCAUGCAUGUGUCCCCAGGCCUAGUUCUUUCCCUAGGUCUGGUUUUCUAAAUGCUGGUGAUAAAC
rnacentral:snoRNA from 1 species